rnacentral:lncRNA from 1 species
CAAAACCCGGAAGGACCCCGCCGAAGGUUUUCUCCGGUUCGUGAGAGGGGUAGGUAGGGUUGCGAGCGAACAGAUUUGCACAGAAGUGCGUCAAGCCACCCCAGCAGGGUGGAUGUUCAGGGACACAGCUCUGAGCGAGACCUGCAGGCCGAGACACACGAGAACCUUCAAAGCAUAGGCUUUUAUACGAGUGACACCCCGGCCGACCUACUUGAACGGACACUUCUGUUUCUGUUCUUUCGCACCCUGCGCCUUAAAAGGGUCGCAAAACAUCAAAUCAGUGUGCAGUUCUGGAGAAGUACUUACAAUUCAACAUGAGCAGGGUG